UAAUUUUUUCCUAGUGUUCUCUAAUUCUGGUAGUCAUCCAGAGGGAGAAACAAGAAGAACGUAGGUUUCGUCUGUUUCUAGCUGUCAAAGUAUGAAUUCGAUUCUGUAACAUGGGCAGUGGGAAGCUGAUGUUGCUGCUGUUGUGAAAUAUGUAAUUGUCAUGUUUUGUUGUAUUUCUCUACAAAGCUGAGAAGACAGCUGACCCCUCAGAUGCUGCACCAUCCGAUGAUGUUGUGAUCGUGUACGAGCUCACACCUACCCCAGAGCAGAGAGCUCUCGCAGGCUUUCUUAAGCUCCCUUCAACCUUCUUCUGUUACAAGAAUAAGCCUGGAUAUGUGAGUGAAGAGGAUGAUGAUGAAGACUAUGAAACAGCAGUUAAGAAACUUAAUGGAAGACUGUAUCCCAGCAAUGAAAAAGAAAAAAGGAAAUGGCAAGUAGGCACUGCAGUCAAACAGGAAUUGGAGAGGGAAUGU